CCUACGGGUGGCAGCAGUGGGGAAUAUUGGGCAAUGGAGGCAACUCUGACCCAGCAACGCCGCGUGACUGAUGAAGGUUUUCGGAUUGUAAAGUUCUUUUCUCAGGGAAGAAGAAAGUGACGGUACCUUAGGAAUAAGCCUCUGCUAACUACGUGCCAGCAGCCGCGGUAAUACGUAGGAGGCAAGCGUUCUCCGGCAUGACUGGGCGUAGAGGGUGCGUAGGUGGUUUUACAAGUGGGUAGCGAAACCCCGGGGCUCAACAUCGGCACUGCUACCAAAACUGUCGGACUUGAGUGCAGGAGGGGCAAAUGGAAUGCCUAGUGUAGCGGUGGAAUGCGUAGAUAUUAGGAGGAAAACCAGUGGCGAAGGCGAUUUGCUGGACUGUAACUGACACUGAGGCACGAAAGCGUGGGGAGCAAACAGGAUUAGAUACCCGAGUAGUC
rnacentral:rRNA from 1 species